rnacentral:rRNA from 1 species
GACGUAGGGCGCGAGCGUUGUCCGGAUUUAUUGGGCGUAAAGAGCUCGUAGGUGGUUUGUCGCGUUGUUCGUGAAAACCGGGGGCUUAACCCUCGGCGUGCGGGCGAUACGGGCAGACUUGAGUACUGCAGGGGAGACUGGAAUUCCUGGUGUAGCGGUGGAAUGCGCAGAUAUCAGGAGGAACACCGGUGGCGAAGGCGGGUCUCUGGGCAGUAACUGACGCUGGAGGAGCGAAAGCGUGGGGAGCGAACAGG